AUGUGGUAAAAUAGCAUUGAGGUUAGUUUUGGGUUUCAAUUCUGGCUUGAUUAUCUAGUUGUGGAAAUAUAUUCUCUCUGAAACUUAUUUGGCCUACCUGUCUCCCAUACUUCUGUUUCUCACCUCUUGGAGUGUCCAUUGGUUCAACCCUUCAACACAUUCCUCUACAUUAAAGGUUGUAUUUUCUCUUGAUCAUCUGUUUACUGGAAGCCUGUCCCACCUUUCCAACACUGGAUGAACAUUCUUGUUUAGAAAUUUUACAGUUUUAUAGGUGAAAAAGACAAGGAAACUCAGAGACCUUAAAUAAUCUAGAUCACACAGCAAGCAAGUGGUGGAACCAAGGUUGGAAGCAACAUAGAUUUGGCAGCAUUCUCUUGAGCCAGCGGGAAUGCAAUAUAUGGACAAGAUCACAUUUAACAACCCUGUUCCUUUUGAAAUAAAAGCUAAA